rnacentral:rRNA from 1 species
AUUGAACGCUGGCGGCAGGCCUAACACAUGCAAGUCGAGCGGAUGAAGGGAGCUUGCUCCUGGAUUCAGCGGCGGACGGGUGAGUAAUGCCUAGGAAUCUGCCUGGUAGUGGGGGAUAACGUCCGGAAACGGGCGCUAAUACCGCAUACGUCCUGAGGGAGAAAGUGGGGGAUCUUCGGACCUCACGCUAUCAGAUGAGCCUAGGCCGGAUUAGCUAGUUGGUGGGGUAAAGGCCUACCAAGGCGACGAUCCGUAACUGGUCUGAGAGGAUGAUCAGUCACACUGGAACUGAGACGCGGUCCAGACUCCUACGGGAGGUAGCAGUGGGGAAUAUUGGACAAUGGGCGAAAGCCUGAUCCAGCCAUGCCGCGUGUGUGAAGAAGGUCUUCGGAUUGUAAAGCACUUUAAGUUGGGAGGAAGGGCAGUAAGUUAAUACCUUGCUGUUUUGACGUUACCAACAGAAUAAGCACCGGCUAACUUCGUG